UGCACACACUCUGAUACAAUUAAGGGAAAGAGAUUUCUGACAUGAUGUUCUGUCAGACGCCCCACAGUGUACACAGUGCCUGCAGUAUACUUUCCCCUUACUGGAGAGGAUGCAGCUGCUAAAUGUGAAAAAUAAGGGACACAGUUCAUUCUAGAUCAUUCUACGGUAAGCUGUAACCCCAUAAUAUUCAUAAAGAAAGUCAGCUUAGCAUUAUUUUAAAAACAUAGCUUUCUUACAUAUGACCAUACAGUAUAUGCUACAUUCAGCUGCUCUCAGAAUCCUGACAAAAUCCAAGAUGUAGAUGAGUUUGUUUCUUCAUCUGAACAGUUUUAGAGAAAUCCACAUCACUUGAUCACCAGUAGAUCCUCUGCAGUGAAUGAGUCAGAAAAAGAGUUUAAACAGUUGAUAAAAACAUCACAACAAUUCCCCCCGACUCUAAUCCAUCAAGUAAUGUCUUGUGAAGCAAAAAGCUGUGUAUUUGUAAGAAUCAAAUCCAUCAAGAUGUUUUAACUUUGAACUGUCGCUUCUGGCCAAAAUAUGACUCCAUAAUCCACAAUAGUGCUUCAUUAUUGAAAACGUCCAUUCCCUGUUGUACUCUCACAUCAAAAUCAACCCACAUACAGCAUUUGUUUAGAACCCUUUUGGACUUUUUGCUUGUAAAAUGGUGCUUGAUCUGUGCACAUUUCUUUCCUGAUUCAGACGAGACUUUGUUUUUUUGUUUUUUUUGUUUUUUUUUUACUAGAGAAAUCAAUAUUAUAGAGGACUCGUAUAGUAGCCGGAAGUAAUGUUUGAAGUUCAAAAUGUCUUGAUGGAUUUGGUUAUUGUGAUCAUGCAGCUGGGGUAUUAUUGUGAUGUUUUUAUCCACUGUUUGGACUCUCCUUCUGACGGCACACAUUCACUUAAGAGGUAAACUAUUUCCUGAUAAAGAAACAAACUCAUCUAACCUGAUGGUGAGUACAUUUUCAGCCAAUAUUCAUUUUUGAGUGUACUAUUCCUUUAAUACAGCAGUAAACAUCAACUAACGAUUUUAGUAGUAUUAGAUUUUAUUUCCUACAUAAUCUCACUUAUUUUUUUAUAUUUAAAGUUUUAUUCAUGAACUAACACUGAGCAUUGCAAGUGUAUUUAUAAAUGAACAUAACCAAAGCUAUGAAGUCAUAUUGAAAAGUUCUAUGUUUGUUUUGUACAGGAAAAAAAGAUGUGACGACGAUUAGGUUAGUUUUGCUCUGUAAAACCCCCAAAGCAGCGCAUGUAUCAUAUAACAUAAAUGUUUGACACUACGAAUUCCAUACAUUUUCUGAAGUGGGAUUUCUUCUUCUAAAACUUUCUCACGGAUUGCAGUGAAAUGUUAUUAUUCAGGCCUCUAUGGUAAAAGCACACAUGGAUCUAUGUGUUUCUAUGGAAUUUGUAGCUUGCUUUAUUUUAUAGAUAAUGUAGCACCAAAUAUAUUUUUUAAGUAAUGCAAAAGAUUUACUUAACAAUUAAAUACAUGUUUUUUUUCUUUCUUUCCAGAAUUACAGUACAGUGUAAGCCUGAUCAGCGAGCACCCUACCAGGAUCCAGACAUAACUACAUUUCCUCAGCUCUGAUAAAGACCCCCUGGAGACCGGAGUCUCCUGUUUACAGACUGGAACAAGGUGGGCAGGAUGGUUUUGACAAAGACAUUGGCGCCCAGAUGGAGCCUCAGGUGCUGUUUCUGCUGCAUCUCAGACAGUCUGAUCACCUCUGUGCCUGCCAACUGCACAGAGAGAGUAACAGAAAAAUAAAGCAAGUUGUCCAUGUGGUCCUCUGGCAUGCCUAGUGGCAUAUUGGGAACCUUCUUAAUCUGGAGCAGAACAAAAGAACAAAACCAAGCAUGAGCACCUAUCUUCCUCACUGCACAACUUAUGAUGGAUAGGAGGCCUUAAUGAGCUUCUUACAAGCAAUUAAAUAAUCAGGGAGCCCUGCUGUUUGCCGAUGAGGCUUUAGAGCGCGCUGACAAACGGUGGGCCAUCAGCGCUCCAAUCAACAGGACACGGCACUCAGUGCUGUCACCAAUGCUAUUUUAAACAAUGACUCUCUGCACCGCCGAGAAAACACUCAUAGGAAUCAUGUUCACAGGAGUGGGAAUGUUUUGUACAGGCAUUUAACUCAGUGUUUUGCAAACUGUAUCUUUCUUGGCCGUACAGAUGCACUGUUACAGUUUUGUGCGGCUGGCGUUAGUAUGUUAUUCAUUUGACCGUAGUUAAAUGAAUAGUUCACCCCCAAAAUGAAAAUUAUUUUGUUAAUUAAUAGUUAGCACACCUGUAUGCUGUUAUUUUAUUCAUGGAACCCAAUAAGGGAAAUUUGGUAGAAUCUUCUCACCAAUCGUUUCCAACAACAAUUGGUGACAAUGAGAUUUGAGAAAGGAAUAUUGUCUGUGUGUAUAAGUUUCAGCUUUAAGUUUUCAACACAAAUCAAUCAUAAGGCUUUCAAUUUUUUUAAGUUCCAUGGACUACAUUUUUUAACUUUUAUAGUAUUUGUCAUCAGAUUUUUCAGCAAGGUUACAACAAACUUUGUAUCUAAAGGUGUUGUGCGAACAAUUUUCGAUGAAAAAAUAACAACAUAAGGGUCUGGAAUGACACGAAAGUGGUUAAAUAAUGGCAAAAAAAAAAAAUUCCAAAACUCUGGGGUCAAUCAGAUAAAAUAAAAUAAUCAUCAAGGAUACAUUCAAAGUGACAAUAAAGAACUGAAUAAACAGAAAAUGCUGUUCUUUUGAACUAUGAAUUGUGAAACAAAUAUAUUAUGUUCUCACAAAAAUCUUACAUAUGGCAACUGUUUUCAAUAAUAACAAUAAACGUUUCUUCA